rnacentral:rRNA from 1 species
GACGAACGCUGGCGGCAGGCCUAACACAUGCAAGUCGAGCGGAGCGGCGGACGGGUGAGGAAUGCCUAGGACUCUGCCUGGUCGUGGGGGAUAACGUUCGGAAACGGGCGCUAAUACCGCAUACUAUCAGAUGAGCCUAGGUGGGAUUAGCUAGUUGGUGGGGUAAAGGCCUACCAAGGCGACGAUCCGUAACUGGGCUGAGAGGAUGACCAGUCACACGGGAACUGAGACACGGUCCAGACUCCUACGGGAGGCAGCAGUGGGGAAUAUUGGACAAUGGGCGAAAGCCUGAUCCAGCCAUGCCGCGUGUGUGAAGAAGGUCUUCGGAUUGUAAAGCACUUUAAGUUGGGAGGCGUUACCAGCAGAAUAAGCACCGGCUAACUUCGUGCCAGCAGCCGCGGUAAUUC